rnacentral:tRNA from 1 species
UAAAAAAUAAGCUAAUAAAGCUAUUAGGUUCAUACCCUAAACAUAAAGAUUUUAACCCUUUUUUUUUAA